rnacentral:tRNA from 1 species
GAGAUAUUAGUAAAAUAAUAUUACAUCACCUUGUCAAGAUGAAAUUGCAAGUUAAACCCUUGUAUAUCUUU